rnacentral:rRNA from 1 species
AGAGAUUGUGUGAUGACGCAUAUCAAUAAGCGGAGGAAAAGGAACUAACAAGGAUUCCCUUAGUAACGGCGAGUGAAGCGGGAAGAGCUCAAAUUUGAAAUCUUCAAGGUUUUACCUUGACGAAUUGUAGUUUAAAGAAGUGUUUUCUGUUGGAGUUUCGGUAAAAGUUCUUUGGAAUAGGACAUCAUAGAGGGUGAGAAUCCCGUAUUUGACCGUUACUUUCCAGCUGUGUGAUACACUUUCAACGAGUCGGAUUGUUUGGGAAUGCAGUCCAAAAUGGGUGGUAAAUUUCAUCUAAAGCUAAAUAUUGGCGAGAGACCGAUAGCGAACAAGUACCGUGAGGGAAAGAUGAAAAGAACUUUGAAAAGAGAGUUAAACAGUACGUGAAAUUGUCAAAAGGGAAGCGUUUGACACCAGUGUUGUUUUUCCGAAAAUCAAUUACGAAUGUUUUAUUUUUGAGGAGUUAUGACUUCAUCGGCUUGCUCCUUUCUUUACGAAACUUUCUUAAUGCACUUUUCGGUUAACAAGUCAACAUCAAUUUCUUUUGUUAUAAAAGGGUAUGAGGAAGGUGGCUUUCUUUUCGGAGAAAGUGUUUAUAGCCUUGUACCUCUGCAAUCGGAGAGAUUGAGGUCUGCAGCGUAGAUCCUUCGGGGUUAGAUACAUUUGUGCUAAGUUAUAGCUUUUCAUAGACAACUUGUUGACUAUGUUUAGUCUUGUAGCUUAGCUCGCUUAUGCUAUUUUACCUACGCUUAGGAUGUUGAAGUCAUCGUAUCGCGC